AUGUAUGAGCAGAAUCUCUCUAAGCUAAAUCAGUUUUAUAAACAAAGAGCAAAGAAACCUUGGGCUAAGGAUGGAGAUAGAAAUACCAGAUUUUUCCAUCAAUCUGUUCUUAAGAGAAGAAAAAAGAACACUAUUGUUUCCAAGGAUGAAAAUGAUGUUAUACAUUUUAAGCCAAGUCAAAUUGCUAACACUUUUGUGAACUAUUUCAGCAAUAUGGGCAGGCCUUUUCUUGCAACUCAGCCUCUAAUACAAUCAGAUGAUUUCACUUAUUCCAUACCAGAUAAGCAGGAAAUCUUGCAGAUUCUGAAGGAUAUGAAGCUAAAUGCAUCACGUGGCCCUGAUGGUUUCAAUGUGGAGUUUUAUGUUUCAACCUGGGAUUGGAUUGGGGAUGACGUUGCUGCCUUGGUUACCAUGUUCUAUCGUACAAGUAUCUUACCCCCACAUAUUAGUGGCACGAAUAUUGCUCUCAUUCCUAAAAAGCUGGUUCAUCAAGUUCCUAGUGACUAAAGACCCAUUAGCCUUUGUAAUGUCGUCUAUAAAAUUAUUGCUAAAUCUUUGGCUAAUAGGCUCAAACCUCACUUGCCUGAUUAUAUUGAUACCUCUCAGCAAGCUUUUAUCGAAGGGCGUAGAAUUAGUGAUAACAUUAUACUUGCACAAGAAAUCACUCGUUCAUUUGCCCUUAAUUCUUGGAAACACCAGGGCUUCAUGCUUAAAAUUGAUCUUGCUAAAGCUUUCGAUCGUAUUGAAUGGAAUUUCAUUGUUUUGGCUCUGUCAUGUAAAGGGUUGCAUGCUCACUUCAUUAAUCUUAUCUAUGCGUGCAUUUCUACUCCAAUUUUUCUGUCAUCAUUAACGGCCAAGCCACUCAGAGAUUCAAAAGUGAUAGGGGUAUAA
rnacentral:rRNA from 1 species